GAUGAACGCUGGCGGCGUGCCUAAUACAUGCAAGUCGAGCGAACGGACGAGAAGCUUGCUUCUCUGAUGUUAGCGGCGGACGGGUGAGUAACACGUGGAUAACCUACCUAUAAGACUGGGAUAACUUCGGGAAACCGGAGCUAAUACCGGAUAAUAUUUUGAACCGCAUGGUUCAAAAGUGAAAGACGGUCUUGCUGUCACUUAUAGAUGGAUCCGCGCUGCAUUAGCUAGUUGGUAAGGUAACGGCUUACCAAGGCAACGAUGCAUAGCCGACCUGAGAGGGUGAUCGGCCACACUGGAACUGAGACACGGUCCAGACUCCUACGGGAGGCAGCAGUAGGGAAUCUUCCGCAAUGGGCGAAAGCCUGACGGAGCAACGCCGCGUGAGUAAUGAAGGUCUUCGGAUCGUAAAACUCUGUUAUUAGGGAAGAACAUAUGUGUAAGUAACUGUGCACAUCUUGACGGUACCUAAUCAGAAAGCCACGGCUAACUACGUG
rnacentral:rRNA from 1 species